rnacentral:rRNA from 1 species
CCUACGGGAGGCUGCAGUCGAGAAUCAUUCACAAUGGGGGAAACCCUGAUGGUGCGACGCCGCGUGGGGGAAUGAAGGUCUUCGGUUUGUAAACCCCUGUCAUGUGGGAGCAAAUUAAAAAGUUAGUACCACAAGAGGAAGAGACGGCUAACUCUGUGCCAGCAGCCGCGUUAAUACAGAGGGCUCAAGCGUUGUUCGGAAUCACUGGGCGUAAAGCGUGCGUAGGCUGUUGCGUAAGUCGUGUGUGAAAGGCGCGGGCUCAACCCGCGGACGGCACAUGAUACUGCGAGACUAGAGUAAUGGAGGGGGAACCGGAAUUCUCGGUGUAGCAGUGAAAUGCGUAGAUAUCGGGAGGAACACUCGUGGCGAAGGCGGGUUCCUGGACAUUAACUGACGCUGAGGCACGAAGGCCAGGGGAGCGAAAGGGAUUAGAUACCCCAGUAGUC